CUGUGCCUAUGUACUUCCACAAAUACUUGAUGCAUAUUCGUAAUUACAGCAAGUCAUCUUUCAUUAUUUUUUUUUUUAAACAGGUCCUGUCUGCUUUUUUUUGUAUCUAGACGAUAGGAAUUGGGCAACUUUUUUAACAGGUACGGUAGCAGAAAAUAUGUGUGUUUUGGUAGGUUAGUUGAUGAGGAGCCCUGCGUUGCCUAAUGGUAAUGCUUUUUCACAGUUCAUAUUUGAUUAUGCCGAGAUGCUCCCUAGGCCCUGCCUCUUCCAAAUGCAUAUAGACAUUUAUAUUCCGGACACUAAAAACCAGCAGAAUUCCAAUGCUCCUUUUACCGUAUUUGAAUUAGUCAUCAGCUACCCUGAAACUUCAAACCAGCUGAUAACAUUCUGAGUAUGAAAACCAGGCUCAGGUGUGACCUCACGUACAGGCAUAAGUAGUUAUUUCUCUUUUGUAUUUGGCAAGGCAGGAGAAAGGAAUGUAAGUAUCUUCCCUGCAAAAUCUGCCAAUGAAUAAAAUCACUUUCAGCUAACUUUAGGCAGACUGGUGGAUUUCAUGAGUCACGGGAAGAGAGAAGGUUAAUGUAAUGUUUUCAGAUCUAAGUUUCAUGUAACAUGCUCUGGAAAAGAACUAGAAUUGGAAAGAAUUAAGUGAUAUGCUCUCACCACCAACUGUGUGUGCUAUCAAGAACCUACUAAUCAGUGCAAAUCCGGGAGAAUAAAGCAGGGGAGAGUUAUUCCCCUUUCAGCUGCCAUGACAGGACUCACCGCUCUUGUCACCGAGAGGAAUCUGUCAUAGCUAAUCAGCACGAUGUUGAAGACCGAGGAGGUGCAGAGCAGAAUUGCACAUAGAUUUACAAGCUGGACAGAGGAGGUAUGGAGAAGUUCUGCCUUCCCAAGAACUCUUGUACAAAUAAAUGAAGUCUCCAUGUGGGCUGCUUAUUCUGACCACCGAAGACAGUGCUGGGAUUUGCUUAUCGCAGUGGAGCACCUUCUUCUACAGGCCAGGGUAUAUGAGACACCGGUGAGCCUGAAAAUUCAUGGCAAACAGACAGAAGACUAUGAUGUGCAAUUUUUCCAUGUGGAAGUAGUUAAUGAAGGCUGCAUUGGUGCGAGUGUAAAUGCCGUGCUUUGAGCCAAAACCCUCCCUACGUGACAAUGAGGAGAGAGUACCUGCAAAACCCGCUUCCAAGUGGCAGGGCUUGAAAAAUGUCAGCAUGCUUUGCAUACGGAAUGGCCAGGCCAAGGAAACAUGGCAGAGGUGAGCCGGCUUCCCCUCCUGCCCUCCUGCCAGGUCCCGUCCCCGGCAGAGCUGGUGACCGGGAAUAAAUCCAAAUGCGAAGCGGGCCCUGGGCAGCAAUGCCGGGGGAAAGCAAGGCUCUUUGUCUGGGCUUCUCCCUGCUGGAAGCCCUCAGCUAACAGACAGCUGGCGAGGCUCCUUCCUGCCUGCCCUGGCCAUUGGGGCUGGAUGGCUGGAAAACAGGGAUCGUGCUCUGUGCUUGGGAAAUGGCAGGCAGGGCUCCGGCUUUGGUGGCCACACAGAGCUUGGCAACUGCCUUGUCACUGGUCUUGGCCAGCUGCUGGCAGCACAGCACCCAGGGCUGGAGCAGGUUUGGCUUUGGGUUCAGGACAUCGGGUUUUAUGCAUGGAAAUGGGGACAUGGAGAGGUUUUACCAUUCCUAUGCCAGCAGCAUAAGGGAAUGGCUACUUGUCAGCUGCAAAUUCAAGCCAUCUGCCUUGAUCAUUAGAAACUUCCAGUUUGGCAUUUAACUUAGACAACGUAAUGGACUCUAUUUUUUUCCACUGUGCCCAAUCUGAAUCUGUCUUACUUUUCAGUUUCCAAAUAUAUAAACAGCAACCCAAACGAUUCAUGGUACUUUAAACCUGGAGUUAUGCAGUCUCUUCCUUCCCAACAGAGUCCCUUCUUCAGUUCUGAUGGCCAUUCUUUUACCUAAUAACUUGUUUUCUCACAUUUUCUGAAAGAGCUCCCUGAGACAAAAAUAAUGCUGAACAUGUAAGACAUCAUUGUGAAUAUCAAUAAGGUUUUUCUUCUCCUUCUGCUCCCCGUUCCUCCUCUGGGCUAAAAGCAAACACAAUCAGCUGUAGCUGACACAGGAGCUGAAGAGAGAGGCAUCUUAGUUACUCUGCCUGUCAGGGUUGCUUGUACAGCAGACGUCAGAUCUAGAGCCAAACUUCCCAACUCCAUCUGGGACAAGAGUAGAUUUUUUUUUGUUCAUGCUCAAAUAUUCCAUGUAUUUUAUGAUUUGCUUUUUUGGAAUUUCACAAUGAGACCCCCCCCUUUUUUUUAACCAAUCUGCAAAUUAGUAUCAUUUGUUUCUGGAAAGUUUAGGUGCUGAUUUUCAAGCACAAAAGAUGCUGAAGCAUAAAAUGAAUGAUCUUAUUUUGAUGGAUGUGUGUGAAUUAGUGGUUACUAAUUAGUUUUAGUGGUUGCCUAGGGACCAGUUAACAGGACUUUGUUACAUUCAACACAGAAAACUGUCCCAGGAAGUAGUACGUGCGUAUAAAUAUUUGUUUGAUGAGUGGUGGUAAUUUUGGAAAGAUAAAGAAAAUGACAUGCUGAACUGAUUUAGAACAGCCUAUAGU